AGCAACCUACCCUGGAGUGGGGGACAACUCUUCGAAAGGAGGGCUAAUACCGCAUGUAGAUCUUCGGAUCAAAGGUGGCUUCGGCUACCGCUCCUGGAUGGGCUCGCGGCCUAUCAGCUUGUUGGUGAGGUAACGGCUCACCAAGGCUAUGACGGGUAGCUGGUCUGAGAGGACGAUCAGCCUCACUGGAACUGAGACACGGUCCAGACACCUACGGGUGGCAGCAGUCGAGAAUCAUUCACAAUGGGCGAAAGCCUGAUGGUGCAACGCCGCGUGGAGGAUGACGGCCCUAGGGUUGUAAACUCCUGUCAUCUGGGAGUAAUCCUUGUUCGUUAAUA
rnacentral:rRNA from 1 species